rnacentral:piRNA from 1 species
UGGAGCUGAAAAUGUUGUCUAAAGAAA